GUGAAGAAAUGGAUUUAACAUGUGCAGAAAACUUCGCUUUCAGGACAUCAGAGCAGGUCUGUGUGCUUAUGGGGAUGACAUGAAAGAAAGAGAAAAGGAAGGAAGAAGCAGAUGACGCACUCAAGGGGAUAAUGUUUUUAAUGUAACGAAUGGAACAAAAGAAUUAUUGCAGAGGUGAGGUCAAGGUGAAAGGAACCAAAGAGGACAUGAUGAAGCACCCAGAUCCAGCAAGAAUAGAAAGUCAUUACCUCUCCUUUGCUUGACAUGACAAAUAAAAAAAAAAAAAGACACAUAAUACCAGAACAUGAUAAGAAGUAAGAGCUAUGAUCACAGCAGAAGGGUCACUCAACAACAUCUGAAAUUAUAAGGAGAAGGAUAUACCUACUGC
rnacentral:lncRNA from 10 species